rnacentral:rRNA from 1 species
CUAGUCGUCGUCGGUCAGCUCGAGCUCGACAGCGAGGGGAAGGAGGGUGAGGCCAGGGAAGAAGGGCAGCCCGACCGGCUUUGCCCGGUCACGUGUGGCGCGCGCGGGAGAUCUUCCCACCAGGAGCCGGGGAGAUUUUGUUCCGGAGGACACGAUCUUGUCUCGCAGACCGUGAAUAUAUGCGCCGUGACCAAAUCCAAGGUAACAUCACACACAUAUCCGCUUCGAAAGCCGCGACGACGACGACGACGAUGACCAGCUAGCCAGCUCGCCUAUUUAGCUAGCCCGUCACAGCGCGCUCAUUUGGAGGAUGUGUUUGUACUUGUAGCGCAGUGCGAUCGAGUGAGCAGGAGCUAGAGCUAGUGGUGGCAGAGGCAGGACAGACCGAUGGGAGCGGCCAUGGCGGAGGAGAGGAGGGCGCACGCGAUGAUGUUCCCGUUCCCGUGCUCGGGCCACAUCAACCCGACGCUGAAGCUGGCGGAGCUGCUGCACUCGCGCGGGGUGCACGUCACCUUCGUCAACACCGAGCACAACCACGAGCGCCUGCUGCGGACGGGCGGCGCGCGGCUCGCCGGCCGGGACGGAUUCCGGUUCGAGUCCGUGCCCGACGGGCUGGACGACGCCGACCGCGCCUCGCCAGACAAGACGGUGAGGCUCUACCUGUCGCUGCGGAGGAGCUGCGGCCCGCCGCUGGUGGACCUGGCGCGCCGACUCGGGGAGCAAGAGGGCGUGCCGCCUGUCACCUGCGUCGUGCUCAGCGGCCUCGCCAGCUUCGUGCUCGGCGUCGCGGAGGAGCUCGGCGUGCCGUCCUUCGUCAUCUGGGGCACCAGCGCCGUCGGCUUCGUCUGCACGCUCCGGCUGCGCCAGCUCACACAGAGAGGCUACACGCCGCUCAAAGAUGAGAGCUACUUGACCAACGGGUACCUGGACACGCCGAUCGACUGGAUCGCCGGGAUGCCGACGGUGCGGCUCGGCGACAUCUCCAGCUUCGUCCGGACGGUGGCGCCAAACGGGUUCGGCCUGCGCGUGGAGGAGGAGGAGGCCAACAGCUGCGCCAGGGCGCAGGGCCUCAUCCUCAACACGUUCGACGAGCUCGAGCCAGACGUCCUGGCCGCGCUCCGGGACGAGUUCCCGCGCGUGUACACCAUCGGGCCGCUCGCUGCCGCCAUGCACCGCCGCGUCGACCACGGCGCGUCCGGGCUGAGCCUGUGGGAGGAGGACGCGGCGUGCAUGGCGUGGCUGGACGCGCAACCGGCGGCGGGGUCGGUGCUGUACGUCAGCUUCGGGAGCCUGGCGGUGCUGUCGCUGGACCAGCUGGCGGAGUUCGCGUGGGGCCUCGCCGCCAGCAACCGCCCGUUCCUCUGGGUCGUGCGCCCCGGGCUUGUCGCCGGCGACCGCGGCAUGGAGGCCCUGCCGGCCGACUUCCUCGCGGAGACCAAGGGCCGGCGCUUCAUCGCCGAGUGGUGCGCGCAGGAGCAGGUGCUGCGGCACCGCGCCGUGGGGGGCUUCCUGACGCACAGCGGGUGGAACUCGACGACGGAGAGCAUCUGGGCGGGUGUGCCGAUGAUCUGCGCGCCGGGGUUCGCGGACCAGUACAUCAACAGCCGAUACGUGUGCGGGGAGUGGGGCGUCGGGCUGCGCCUGGACGAGCAGCUGCGGCGAGAGCAGGUCGUGGCGCACAUCGAGGAGCUCAUGGGCGGAGGGGAGAAGAGCGAGGAGAUGAGGCGCCGCGCCGCUGAGUGGAAGGCUCGUGCCGAGGCGGCGACGGCGCCCGGGGGGUCGGCGUACGAGAACCUCGACAAGCUGGUCGAGGAGCUGCGGCUGGAGGUGCCGGACGGCGGCGCCAAGCUUGCCAAAGUCACGCACGCCCGGUGACGUCACCGCCAGGCAGUGUCAUGUCCCACUGUUGCGUAAUGUACUCUUAGACUUUUGGGUGCAUGCUGUUGUUUUCUCUCGAUCUCGAACUUGUCAUUUAUCGUCAAGAUUUAGCUCAGCGACUGGCACGCCGAUCGUUUCUUACACGCAUGGCUCUCUUCAAACUAUGCAAAUCAUGGGCUUAAUGGCAUCUCCG